rnacentral:piRNA from 1 species
CCGUGGCUUAGCUGGUUAAAGCGC